GACGAACGCUGGCGGCGUGCUUAACACAUGCAAGUCGAACGGAAAGGCCCUGCUUUUGUGGGGUGCUCGAGUGGCGAACGGGUGAGUAACACGUGAGUAACCUGCCCUUGACUUUGGGAUAACUUCAGGAAACUGGGGCUAAUACCGGAUAGGAGCUCCUGCUGCAUGGUGGGGGUUGGAAAGUUUCGGCGGUUGGGGAUGGACUCGCGGCUUAUCAGCUUGUUGGUGGGGUAGUGGCUUACCAAGGCUUUGACGGGUAGCCGGCCUGAGAGGGUGACCGGCCACAUUGGGACUGAGAUACGGCCCAGACUCCUACGGGAGGCAGCAGUGGGGAAUAUUGCACAAUGGGCGGAAGCCUGAUGCAGCAACGCCGCGUGCGGGAUGACGGCCUUCGGGUUGUAAACCGCUUUCGCCUGUGACGAAGCGUGAGUGACGGUAAUGGGUAAAGAAGCACCGGCUAACUACGUGCCAGCAGCCGCGGUGAUACGUAGGGUGCGAGCGUUGUCCGGAUUUAUUGGGCGUAAAGGGCUCGUAGGUGGUUGAUCGCGUCGGAAGUGUAAUCUUGGGGCUUAACCCUGAGCGUGCUUUCGAUACGGGUUGACUUGAGGAAGGUAGGGGAGAAUGGAAUUCCUGGUGGAGCGGUGGAAUGCGCAGAUAUCAGGAGGAACACCAGUGGCGAAGGCGGUUCUCUGGGCCUUUCCUGACGCUGAGGAGCGAAAGCGUGGGGAGCGAACAGGCUUAGAUACCCUGGUAGUCCACGCUGUAAACGGUGGGUACUAGGUGUGGGGUCCAUUCCACGGGUUCCGUGCCGUAGCUAACGCUUUAAGUACCCCGCCUGGGGAGUACGGCCGCAAGGCUAAAACUCAAAGGAAUUGACGGGGCCCCGCACAAGCGGCGGAGCAUGCGGAUUAAUUCGAUGCAACGCGUAGAACCUUACCUGGGUUUGACAUGGAUCGGGAGUGCUCAGAGAUGGGUGUGCCUCUUUUGGGGUCGGUUCACAGGUGGUGCAUGCCUGUCGUCAGCUCGUGUCGUGAGAUGUUGGGUUAAGUCCCGCAACGAGCGCAACCCUUGUUCACUGUUGCCAGCACGUUAUGGUGGGGACUCAGUGGAGACCGCCGGGGUCAACUCGGAGGAAGGUGGGGAUGACGUCAAGUCCUCAUGCCCCUUAUGUCCAGGGCUUCACGCAUGCUACAAUGGCUGGUACAGAGAGUGGCGAGCCUGUGAGGGUGAGCGAAUCUCGGAAAGCCGGUCUCAGUUCGGAUUGGGGUCUGUAACUCGACCUCAUGAAGUCGGAGUCGCUAGUAAUCGCAGAUCAGCAACGCUGCGGUGAAUACGUUCCCGGG
rnacentral:rRNA from 1 species